rnacentral:rRNA from 1 species
UGGGGAAUAUUGCGCAAUGGGCGGAAGCCUGACGCAGCGACGCCGCGUGGGGGAUGACGGCCUUCGGGUUGUAAACCUCUUUCGACUUCGACGAAGCCUCGUUUUUGGGCGGGGUGACGGUAGGGGUGGAAGAAGCACCGGCCAACUACGUG